rnacentral:sRNA from 1 species
AAGUUAGUUUUCUAGGGUUCCGCAGUUUGUAUUGGCUGGUCCAAGAGAAAACGCACAGGAAACUGUGUACACGGAAGGAUAAAAGCCUGGGAGAU